UAUGGGAAUGUAGACUUGCUGUUUCUUUCCUAAAGGCCAAUUAUGAACAUGUUCAUUAAUAUUAAGAAGGAUGUCCCUAAUGGGCAUUCGUAUGACCAUACAUGCUGAAGAUGUAUGUGGAUUUUCUUACUGAUAGUACCAUACCAUAGGAUCAAGGAAUGCACAGAAUAAGAUGGUUCAAACAAUGCUGUAUGAGAUGUGUCUAUAUACAAUAUAGGAUACUAAAGAAAUCCAGGUUCCAAUUAUAGAGAACAUUUUUCAAAUGAUAAUCUGUUGUAGGUUUAGUAUACUAGAGCUUAUGUGAAUUCUUUCAGAUGUGAAAUUGUUUCCCAAAUUUUGGCAAUGCUCCUUAUAACCCAAUCAUGCUACUAGAACUUGUAUUCAACUUAUAAGAGCAUGAAAAUUUUGGAAAUGAGCCAAUGAAACUAAACUUAAAUUUUGCUUAUAUCUCCUGAAAGCAGGUAGAAAAUACUCUAGUCAAGUAAUUUACAAUUUGGAAUAUUUGGUUAAAAUUCAAAUCUGAUAUCUGUAACAAUUUACCUUUAACAGUGUUCACUCUCUAAGGCAAUAUUCCGAACAACCUCAACAAUAACAAAUUUCAAAAUAAGUAGAUAUUGAAAAUGGUUAAAUCUGUUGCAUUUGUUUUGGCUUGAGUUUGUUGUUGUUGUUGUUUGAAUGUAUAUGUGGUUUAAAUAGCACAUUGCUCUUCAUUUGUCAGGAUUUCUUCUAUCUUGCCAUUUAUGAAUUUCCUUUGCAUAACCCCUUCCCUGUACAUAUGUAAACAUAACAGUGUACGAUUCUGGACUGGGGAGUAGAGGUACUAGAAUGCUUAUGGCCAUCUCUUUGUAUAGGAACUACAUUGCUGUCCCAUGUCAAUGAGGCUACCGCUCCCUUGCCGUGUUAUGUACCAUAUUACCUGACUUGUAUCUUAAAUUUGAUUUAUAGAUAUUAUUUAUUUCUCGCAACACACCCAGUCAAGGCUGUACUAAGUAUCCAUCAAGCCAUGUAUAAAUAUGAUACAAUUGGCAGUAUGUGUUUACUUUACACUUGCAUUUUUAAAAACAUGGUUCAUUUAGUUUAUGUUGCACAAUGUAGAUGGCCUCUUACUAAUGUAAAAUGAUUUCUAGUGGGAACACUUAUAUUUUUAUAAUAAACAUAAUGAAAAUAUUUUUACAGAUCGG
rnacentral:lncRNA from 1 species